CAGAAGGGCAGCUCUCCGCGUUAAAAACACUUCUGCCAACUGCUCCCGGGAAGAGGGGUGACUCCUCAUGCUCUUGGGAGAUUCGAGCUUUUUUUCUGAAGCCCACAAUUGUCUACUUCCCACCUUAUAGCUGUCUUCCUCUAUCAAGUCAAUUGUACCUAGAAAAAGCUUUUUGUACCUUGUGGCUUUGUUGUAGCCACUAAUUAUUCUCUGCUGAAAAGAAGAGGAUGCUGGUGUGGCUACCAUUAUGGAGCAAAGAGGAGGCAGAAGGUUACAAGGAAGAUCAAGAGGAAUGAUCAAAGCUGGAUAAUGUUAGGAAGAAUUUGGAAGCCUGCUGAACAAAACUCCCUGUGUUUUUCCACUGCGUGGGCUUCAUCAAGGAGCAAUUCCACUACCAGUAACCCAGACUGUAUCCAGCAGCAGAGCUCUCUUGUUCAUUUAGAGCAGAUGAAAGAAUCCUUUCAUAUCCAAAGAGGAACUUAAAAUAUUGGGUACUGGGAGCAAGUGGAACGUAGAGACAAUGAAUGGUAGCUAACUAUUUCCAGUAAGUAUUUGCUAAACCAUAAGAACAAAUUGUAGUUUUGAGACAUACUGUAAACACUGGACGAGGGAAAAUUUCAGAGUUGGAUGUAAAGUUUGUGUUAUCCUUAUAGCACAUGCACUCUGAGUUAAGAGCUGCUUAAAGCGA